rnacentral:rRNA from 1 species
AUACAUGCAAGUCGAACGCAAUCUUUGACUAAUGAGUGCUUGCACUCAGCAGUCAAAGUGCGAGUGGCGAACGGGUGAGUAACACGUGGGCAAUCUGCCCAAAAGUGGGGGAUAACACUUGGAAACAGGUGCUAAUACCGCAUCAACCGGCUGACCGCAUGGUCGGCCGGGCAAAGACGGCGUCAGCUGUCGCUUUUGGAUGAGCCCGCGGCGUAUUAACUAGUUGGUAAGGUAACGGCUUACCAAGGUGAUGAUACGUAGCCGAACUGAGAGGUUGAUCGGCCACAUUGGGACUGAGACACGGCCCAAACUCCUACGGGAGGCAGCAGUAGGGAAUCUUCCACAAUGGACGCAAGUCUGAUGGAGCAACGCCGCGUGUAUGAAGAAGGUCUUCGGAUCGUAAAAUACUGUUGUCAGAGAAGAACACGUGAUAGAGUAACUGCUAUGGCGCUGACGGUAUCUGACCAGCAAGUCACGGCUAACUACGUGCCAGCAGCCGCGGUAAUACGUAGGUGGCAAGCGUUGUCCGGAUUUAUUGGGCGUAAAGGGAACGCAGGCGGUCUUUUAAGUCUGAUGUGAAAGCCUUCGGCUUAACCGGAGAAGUGCAUUGGAAACUGGAAGACUUGAGUGCAGAAGAGGAGAGUGGAACUCCAUGUGUAGCGGUGAAAUG